CCCUUAGAUGUUCUGGGCUGCACGCGCGCUACACUGAUGCGUUCAACGAGUUUUUAGCUUAUCUGAUAAGAUUGGCUAAUCUUCUGAAAACGCAUCGUGAUGGGGAUAGAUUAUUGUAAUUAUUAAUCUUCAACGAGGAAUUCCUAGUAGGUGUGAAUCAUCAGUUCACGCCGAUUACGUCCCUGCCCUUUGUACACACCGCCCGUCGCUCCUACCGAUUGAGUGAUCUGGUGAAUAAUUCGGACCGGUGAGCUUCCAGGUUUACCUGGCUGCUUGCUGGAAAGUCUAGUGAACCUUAUCACUUAGAGGAAGGAGAAGUCGUAACAA
rnacentral:rRNA from 1 species